UGCAAUGCUGGUGCCUCGGUCUUCC
rnacentral:piRNA from 1 species